CACCGCCGCCUCAGGUGGAACAUCCGGGUAUGUGUGGGAUGAGGCAUGAAGUUAUUACAACGUCAGUUUCAUUGACUGAUGGCAACAUUGCUGCCCAGGUCAGGAGCAGCUGGCACAAGGAACAAUCCCUGAAAAGGAAGAUAAACCCCCCAAAAAAUACCACCACUACCGCAAGGGGUGAGACAGGCAGCCC